AUCUCCAAGGACUGUUAGACCACCAGACAGACUUCACCUGUGACAUGUAUUCUGUCUUACUGCUUGUGAGAAUUUUGUUAAACUCUGUAGCACUCAAAGAAAAGGGGGGUGUAGUGAUAAUUGUCUGUCCACUAGGUGGUGUCGUGUGCAGCUUUGACAGUAUUUAGGCAGAGAAGAAGAAAUCUGCACAGCUGUCAUUCACAAUGAUUUAAUGAGCUGUAUGACCAGGUGGUGUGAACAUAGAAAAUAAAAUAAAAUAAAAUUGAAGAUCGUCAUUUUCUCCUUUAUACUUCUACAAGACACAUAACGGGGUCAACAGUACAGAGUAAUGGAGACUGUGGAAAAGAAGUGAAGAGUUUAGUGACAGACCAGCGAAGUGAAGAAAAGAUCCAUCCAGAAGAUCUUUUCAUGAGUUAACAGAUUCUCCAGUGGUUCUCAAGGACAACGGCUUGCAGACCAGUCGAGCCGACAAGAGCCCCCCCGACUGUUUCCAGCUCAUCGGAGCUCCUCCUGAAGAGCCACCAGCACCAGAGCGGCAGAUGGAAACGCAACACGGAGCCAGCGGAGUCAACAACCUGGAACAACCCACUUUCAGAGAACUCCACAAGUUCCUCUUGAACAUUGUCACAACGGUAACUGAGUUCAAGUGUUACAAUUUCCACUAUUUGUUUGAUCUUUAAAUAAACAUAUGGAGGGUUUUUUUUAUGUUUGAUUGAAGCUGCAAUGUGUUGU
ensembl:lncRNA